rnacentral:rRNA from 1 species
GAUGAACGCUGGCGGCGUGCCUAAUACAUGCGAGUAGAACGCUGAAGGAAGGAGCUUGCUCUUUCCGGAUGGGUUGCGAACGGGUGAGUAACGCGUAGGUAACCUGCCUGGUAGCGGGGGAUAACUAUUGGAAACGAUAGCUAAUACCGCAUAACAGUAGAUGUUGCAUGAUAUCUACUUAAAAGGUGCAAUUGCACCACUACCAGAUGGACCUGCGUUGUAUUAGCUAGUUGGUGAGGUAACGGCUCACCAAGGCGACGAUACAUAGCCGACCUGAGAGGGUGAACGGCCACACUGGGACUGGGACACGGCCCAAGAUCCUACGGGAGGGAGCAGUAGGGAAUCUUCGGCAAUGGACGGAAGUCUGACCGAGCAACGCCGCGUGAGUGAAGAAGGUUUUCGGAUCGUAAAGCUCUGUUGUAAGAGAAGAACGAGUGUGAGAGUGGAAAGUUCACACUGUGACGGUAUCUUACCAGAAAGGGACGGCUAACUACGUG